ensembl:lncRNA
AUGGCCAGGGAGUGCAGUGGAGGAUGGCCCAGGUGCUUGGGCCCUGCACCCCAUGGGAGACCAGGAAAAGCACCUGGCUCCUGGCUCCUGCCAGGAUCAGCGCGGUGCGCCGGCUGCAGCGGCGGCCAUUGGAGGGUGAACCAGCGGCAAAGGAAGACCUUUCUCUCUCUGUCUCUCUCUCUCACUGUCCACUCUGCCUGUCAAAAAAAAAAAAAAGAAAGACUUCAAGAGCAGGAUUUUUUUUUUCUCACAGUGCGGAGGCCGGAAGUCCACGGUCGGGGAGCCAGCACACUCAGUGCCCUGGCUCGUGCACCGCCGCCUUCUCGGCUCUCACCGUGUCUUCACAAGGCAGCAGGAGAGAAAGAGUGCGAACACCAGCCUCCUGGAACUGAUCCCAUCCAUCAGAAGGCUCCACCCUUGCAAACUCAUCUACAGCUAAUGGCCUUUCCAAAGCCCUAUCCCCAGAGUCCACUACACUGCGGGCAGCGAUGCCAACAUAUGAGUUUGGGGGGGGGAGGUAGGGGCCACCAUUCCAUCCACAGCAGGGGUAAAGGGGACAAUUAUGCCAGAGACGCAGCUGAAGCUGCCUACUGCAGCGACAGACCCCCGGAGGAUAAUCCUCAUUUUCUCUUCUUCACAUUUCUGUACAGGGAAACUCGCCCUCCCAGGCCCAUCAAGGAGAAGGUUGGAAUGAAACAUUUCCCUCUCUGUCCCCUUGUGGAGGAGGAGAAGCUAACAAGAAGGAUCCUCAUAUUUGAGACACCAACCUGGAAGACAACAGGCCUUCUCCAACUCCACAGUUUCUGCUACAAAAUGGAGAGACAUCGUUCCCACCGCCCGCAGGUGAGGUCACUGCCUCCCAGGAGGGGGGUGGGGGGGACAGAACCUGCCCUUCCCCAAACCAGGAGCUCGGGAAGCACCUGGGCACUUCGACCAUUUCAUGUCAGCCAGGGGCUCACUGAGGGCAAGAGCCAGAUUCUUCCACUUCUUUCUACGCCCCGGUGCGUGCAUGCUCUUUGCUGCUGGACCGCUGGCACUUGGCAGAAAGAAUCCCUCUGUCUCCCCUCCCUGCUCCCUCCUUCCCCUGUGGCCUGUACCAAUCGCCACUGCUUCCCCAGGUCAUCGUCCCAGCCUCGAUGCCACGUGAUCAUUGCUCAGACUCCCUCCAGUGAGUCUGAGCUCCUUGGGACAAGGCUGGGGUGCGGUUCAUGUGUUAUCUGCCUCUGAGGUUGUCAGCACGGAGUCUAGGCUUUAUUCAUCCAACAUGGCACGUAACAGCGUUCAGUCGGUGUUUGCAAGGGAGAGAAUCAGUGAGCACAGGCUGAGUAUGGCUUUACUGUCACUGAGCCCCUAGCCCUGGCCCAGUGCAGGCUCUGAGGACACGGAGGGAGCGUGAGAGAAUUCACACAACUCUUCCCACACUUCACCAGUAUCCGGUUUGCUUCCUGGAUAAAUGCCAUGGAGGCAGGGGCUGCAUCUGUUUUGUUCGCCCAAGCAAUGCAGCAGUUCACUCCAUACCAAGGAAGGCAUCCAUAAACUGCUGUUGAAGCAAGCAGUGGGUGCCAUGGAACCCCGCUUUUCAGCUUUGGCUUCCUUGAACAGCACGUUCUACAUUGUACAGUGUGGCUCUGCGCCUGCUCUUGCUUCUCUGUUGAGAGCCCAGAACUGCAUGGACUUGCGGAGGUUUCUCUGCUCAGCUGAACUGCCUGGAGCCCUGAGCAAGAGAGGCAGCAGGUUCUCAACGAGAAGCCUCAAAGAAGACUGCUGAGUAACAGGUGACGGAUCAGCAGCCACUUCUGAAUUGAAUGAUUGUCUUUAAAUAUCCUUAAACUUAAAAAUUUUCUUAGAAAAGAUGGCUAGAUGGGGCGGGCACUGUGACGCAGUGAAUAAGCCACCACCUACAGUGCCGGCAUCCCAUAUGGGCUCUGGUUCCAGUCCCGGCUGCUCUACUUCCGAUCUAGCUCUCUGCUAUGACCUGGGAAAGCAGUAGAAGAUGGCCCAAGUCCUUGGGUCCCUGCACCCACAUGGGAGACAUGGAGGAAGCUCCUGGCUCCUGGCUUCGGAUUGGCGCAGCUCCAGCUGUUGCAGCCAUCUGGGGAGUGAACCAGUGGAUGGAAGACCUCUCUCUGCCUCUCCUCUCUCUGUAUAACUGACUUUCAAAUAAAAUAAAUAGAUUUUUUAAAAAAUGAAGAAGA